rnacentral:rRNA from 1 species
CUAAACGACUCUCGGCAACGGAUAUCUCGGCUCUUGCAUCGAUGAAGAACGCAGCGAAAUGCGAUACUUGGUGUGAAUUGCAGAAUCCCGUGAACCAUCGAGUCUUUGAACGCAAGUUGCGCCUGAAGCCAUUAGGUUGAAGGCACGUCUGCCUGGGCGUCACGC